rnacentral:rRNA from 1 species
GACGUAGGGCGCGAGCGUUGUCCGGAUUUAUUGGGCGUAAAGAGCUCGUAGGCGGCUUGUCGCGUCGACUGUGAAAACUCGGGGCUCAACUCCGAGCUUGCAGUCGAUACGGGCAGGCUAGAGUUCGGUAGGGGAGACUGGAAUUCCUGGUGUAGCGGUGAAAUGCGUAGAUAUCUGGAGGAACACCGGUGGCGAAGGCGGCGUCCUGGACCAACACUGACACUGAGGAGCGAAAGCCAGGGGAGCAAACGGG